CAGUAAUGUAAUUAGGAAGCAACUACCUGUGUUGAGCCCUCAGAUGGUGCCUCACUUGGGUUUGGUAAAAUAUUUACAUCUCAAACAGAAAUUCUGUGAGAUUUUGUGUGAUUUUCAGCUGUUUUGAUAAAGUCAAGAAUUUUUGCUCUAAGAAGAGAAAAAUAUAGUUAGCAACUGUGAUGUGGGUAAUCACCUUGUUUGUGUAAAUUACAGGAUCAUUUCUGAGCCACUGAAGAAAGACAGCUAUGAAAACAGACCAAUGCAAAUAAGUCUGUAUCGGAUGAAAAGUUUCCAUGAAAGAAGUACUAAUGCUGAUUGGAGAAAUAAUGGUAUGAACUCAUGUAGACACUCCUCUCCACUUGCUGAAAACCCUAUCAAAAUCUGAAGCUAUCCAAGAGAAGGCAUUAUAGCCCUCAGGAAAAAGGUACUCCUGAAGCACUUUGUUCCCUUGAGAUCAUAGUGGUCCAUUCUGCACUCCUCUGGAAUAACCUGUAAAAAUUCAUGGCGUGCUGUGUAACUGCCACCAGUAAAAUCCUCUACUUUUUUCACUGACUACUGAUGUUGGUAGCAUGGAUUUAACUGAAAAAUAAAGCUGAAUCUCAUCUCCUUUUGAGAGAUAAUGGUGCAAUUACCUGAAUCUUGCAGUUGGCUGACGUUUUCCAUGCAAAUGUGAAGUGUUUUCAUGAAGAUUUUGUGCUGUGACCAAUUAUCUUCAGGAAAUAGCCUUGCUGUAAUUGGCAGCCUAAAAUGGAGUUAAUUAAGAAGGUCUUCGUGGGACUGCAAGCUUCCCUAGUGGGCAAAUUUAAGGUUGUUGAAAAGAUGACCAUCUUCUGGAAGGCCACCGGGAAAGCUAUAAUGGAAGUUCAGGGACAAGACUGGGUGCUACAUCAAACAAAGAAGAGCUAACUUAAAGUACAGAAGAAAAGCACAUGCCAGAACACUUUUUCCUGACUGGAAAAUAGUCACAAAGAUUAAAAACAUUGAAAUAAAAAGAAAAAAGAAGAAGAAAGAAAUUAAAAA
rnacentral:lncRNA from 1 species